GGUCAAGUGAAGAAGCGCAUACGGUGGAUGCCUUGGCAGUCAGAGGCGAUGAAAGACGUGGUAGCCUGCGAAAAGCUUCGGGGAGUCGGCAAACAGACUUUGAUCCGGAGAUGUCUGAAUGGGGGAACCCAGCCAUCAUAAGAUGGUUAUCUUGUACUGAAUACAUAGGUGCAAGAGGCGAACCAGGGGAACUGAAACAUCUAAGUACCCUGAGGAAAAGAAAUCAACCGAGAUUCCCUUAGUAGUGGCGAGCGAACGGGGACUAGCCCUUAAGUGGCUUUGAGAUUAGCGGAACGCUCUGGAAAGUGCGGCCAUAGUGGGUGAUAGCCCUGUACGCGAAAAUCUCUUAGUCAUGAAAUCGAGUAGGACGGAGCACGAGAAACUUUGUCUGAAUAUGGGGGGACCAUCCUCCAAGGCUAAAUACUACUGACUGACCGAUAGUGAACUAGUACCGUGAGGGAAAGGCGAAAAGAACCCCGGAGAGGGGAGUGAAAUAGAUCCUGAAACCGUAUGCGUACAAGCAGUGGGAACCUACUUUGUUAGGUGACUGCGUACCUUUUGUAUAAUGGGUCAGCGACUUAUUUUCAGUGGCGAGCUUAACCGAAUAGGGGAGGCGUAGCGAAAGCGAGUCUUAAUAGGGCGUCUAGUCGCUGGGAAUAGACCCGAAACCGGGCGAUCUAUCCAUGGGCAGGUUGAAGGUUGGGUAACACUAACUGGAGGACCGAACCGACUACCGUUGAAAAGUUAGCGGAUGACCUGUGGAUCGGAGUGAAAGGCUAAUCAAGCUCGGAGAUAGCUGGUUCUCCUCGAAAGCUAUUUAGGUAGCGCCUCAUGUAUCACUGUAGGGGGUAGAGCACUGUUUCGGCUAGGGGGUCAUCCCGACUUACCAAACCGAUGCAAACUCCGAAUACCUACAAGUGCCGAGCAUGGGAGACACACGGCGGGUGCUAACGUCCGUCGUGAAAAGGGAAACAACCCAGACCGUCAGCUAAGGUCCCAAAGUUAUGGUUAAGUGGGAAACGAUGUGGGAAGGCUUAGACAGCUAGGAGGUUGGCUUAGAAGCAGCCACCCUUUAAAGAAAGCGUAAUAGCUCACUAGUCGAGUCGGCCUGCGCGGAAGAUGUAACGGGGCUCAAACCAUACACCGAAGCUACGGGUAUCACGUAAGUGAUGCGGUAGAGGAGCGUUCUGUAAGCCUGUGAAGGUGAGUUGAGAAGCUUGCUGGAGGUAUCAGAAGUGCGAAUGCUGACAUGAGUAACGACAAUGGGUGUGAAAAACACCCACGCCGAAAGACCAAGGUUUCCUGCGCAACGUUAAUCGACGCAGGGUUAGUCGGUCCCUAAGGCGAGGCUGAAAAGCGUAGUCGAUGGAAAACAGGUUAAUAUUCCUGUACUUCUGGUUAUUGCGAUGGAGGGACGGAGAAGGCUAGGCCAGCUUGGCGUUGGUUGUCCAAGUUUAAGGUGGUAGGCUGAGAUCUUAGGUAAAUCCGGGAUCUUAAGGCCGAGAGCUGAUGACGAGCUAACUUUUAGUUAGCGAAGUGGUUGAUGCCAUGCUUCCAAGAAAAGCUUCUAAGCUUCAGGUAACCAGGAACCGUACCCCAAACCGACACAGGUGGUUGGGUAGAGAAUACCAAGGCGCUUGAGAGAACUCGGGUGAAGGAACUAGGCAAAAUGGCACCGUAACUUCGGGAGAAGGUGCGCCGGUGAGGGUGAAGGACUUGCUCCGUAAGCUCAUGCCGGUCGAAGAUACCAGGCCGCUGCGACUGUUUAUUAAAAACACAGCACUCUGCAAACACGAAAGUGGACGUAUAGGGUGUGACGCCUGCCCGGUGCCGGAAGGUUAAUUGAUGGGGUUAGCUAACGCGAAGCUCUUGAUCGAAGCCCCGGUAAACGGCGGCCGUAACUAUAACGGUCCUAAGGUAGCGAAAUUCCUUGUCGGGUAAGUUCCGACCUGCACGAAUGGCGUAACGAUGGCGGCGCUGUCUCCACCCGAGACUCAGUGAAAUUGAAAUCGCUGUGAAGAUGCAGUGUAUCCGCGGCUAGACGGAAAGACCCCGUGAACCUUUACUAUAGCUUUGCACUGGACUUUGAAUUUGCUUGUGUAGGAUAGGUGGGAGGCUUUGAAGCGUGGACGCCAGUUCGCGUGGAGCCAUCCUUGAAAUACCACCCUGGCAACUUUGAGGUUCUAACUCAGGUCCGUUAUCCGGAUCGAGGACAGUGUAUGGUGGGUAGUUUGACUGGGGCGGUCUCCUCCUAAAGAGUAACGGAGGAGUACGAAGGUGCGCUCAGACCGGUCGGAAAUCGGUCGUAGAGUAUAAAGGCAAAAGCGCGCUUGACUGCGAGACAGACACGUCGAGCAGGUACGAAAGUAGGUCUUAGUGAUCCGGUGGUUCUGUAUGGAAGGGCCAUCGCUCAACGGAUAAAAGGUACUCCGGGGAUAACAGGCUGAUACCGCCCAAGAGUUCAUAUCGACGGCGGUGUUUGGCACCUCGAUGUCGGCUCAUCACAUCCUGGGGCUGAAGCCGGUCCCAAGGGUAUGGCUGUUCGCCAUUUAAAGUGGUACGCGAGCUGGGUUUAGAACGUCGUGAGACAGUUCGGUCCCUAUCUGCCGUGGACGUUUGAGAUUUGAGAGGGGCUGCUCCUAGUACGAGAGGACCGGAGUGGACGAACCUCUGGUGUUCCGGUUGUCACGCCAGUGGCAUUGCCGGGUAGCUAUGUUCGGAAUAGAUAACCGCUGAAAGCAUCUAAGCGGGAAACUAGCCUCAAGAUGAGAUCUCACUGGAACCUUGAGUUCCCUGAAGGGCCGUCGAAGACUACGACGUUGAUAGGUUGGGUGUGUAAGCGCUGUGAGGCGUUGAGCUAACCAAUACUAAUUGCCCGUGAGGCUUGACCAU
rnacentral:rRNA from 1 species